UAAUAUUUGAUCGGCGAAACGUGUGUAUGAUAAGAACAAGUAGACAGGCAAUAGUGAAACAGGGAGGACUUCGACCAGUAACGAUUACCAGAAACAGUCCACAAGUCCGCUAUCAAUCGAAUGGAGAAGAAAUAUAUCAGUUCAAACGCAGACAUCAGACUGAAUCCUGCGAAGAGCCCGAGCAGUCCACCGAACGAGGCUGAAACAAUUUUUGUUAAGCCGUCAGAUUCGAUAUUCUUGAUCAUUUCAAGGUAGAGGAAAAAUUUUUACCGAACAGGUUGUGCCAGUCGUAAUAAACAUCGCGACGGUAUUGAGUUGACACCAGGUCACUGAAGAAUACGUGUAAAAGGCUAUGAUUCUUGACGUCAACACCCUUACUGCGAAGAUAAAGAAAGUAAUCAGACGAGGUGGAUAGACAGCGGUAGAGUCGGGAAUCUUGAUAAAAAAAAAAAAAAAAGAA